UACGAAGGGUGCAAGCGUUACUCGGAAUUACUGGGCGUAAAGCGUGCGUAGGUGGUUUGUUAAGUCUGUUGUGAAAGCCCCGGGCUCAACCUGGGAAUGGCAAUGGAUACUGGCAACUAGAGUGCGGUAGAGGGUAGUGGAAUUCCCGGUGUAGCGGUGAAAUGCGUAGAGAUCGGGAGGAACACCAGUGGCGAAGGCGGCUACCUGGACCAGCACUGACACUGAGGCACGAA
rnacentral:rRNA from 1 species